GUUGUUAUUUUUAACAAAUUUUACAACCCAAAUUUUACUAUAGCUUUUGGAUGUUGAACUUUAUUUCUGUGUUUUUGCAAAAUACAUUCAAAUGUACACGAACAAUUUUUUCCCCUGGAUCCGUCUAUUUUUAAAUCCACAUCGGACCAAAUUGACUAAGAAAACAUUUACUCAAGAUCCCCACUUCAUAGCAGCUAUCAUCUUCACUGCAAAGUAACUUGUGUAACACUUCUUUUGGUCAAUAAGAAAGUCAUUUAUAAAACACGGACUGAAUUUUUUUUCAUUUUUGUGGAACUGAAAGUUAUAUUAAGUGAAACUGUCUGUUAUUCUAUUCAUAAUUUAUAUGAAAAUAAUUCAAUUCAGAAUACAUAGUAAAUUAACGAAGAUGUUUUUGAAAGCACAAAACAAAUUUUGUUGUAGUAAUAAUAUACAACUUAAACGGAAGCUUGCUCUGUCUGACUAAACAAAUAUAAUUGUUUAGUUCAACCAAAAACUGAAGUUUGUAAAAAAAAACUAAGAAAUGCGUAUCUUCAACUCCUAGUUUAUAAUUUUUCACUCUGAGGCUUGUGGUGAUUAGGUUGGGAAUCUUAUGAAUAGUAAUCAACCAUGUGAUAUUGUGCAAAGUUGAAUUCUUUUAUGUAAUCAAAUUUACUGGGUUGAGAAGAGUAUUUCAGAUUUUCAAUGUCUUUAAAAUCAAACAAGUAUAAUUCUUGUCAAAAAGUAUGAUGUCUGAGUAAUCGAGUAUUUUUUUUAAUAAUUAACAGUUCAAUUUGCCCAUCUUAAUAUAUAAGAAUCAACAGUUUCAUGUCUCAAUUAUGGUUGUUCAAUAAAUUAUACAACGGUUUGAACUGCCGAUUGUAAAAAAUAUAUGGAAUUGAAAA